UGUUAAACUGUAAAGAUUGCUCUUGUAAACUUUCAAUUCAGAAUUUCAGAUAAAAGAAAAUUUAAAUCUCACACAAAUUUGUGCCUAAGUAAUGUAAAGUGUGUAAAAUAUUCUUAUCGUACACAAAAUCGAUUCCAACUAGGUCUAUAUAAGCUCCAACUUGAUCAAAAUCAGAGUGGGGACGUGGUGCAAAAUGUAACAGGGGACUGGGAGAUAGCAUGCUACACCAGAUAUAAAAAUAAAGCAAAUCAAGGAAAUGGAUUAAUCUAAAAUUGUGCUACCUCAAAAUCUCAACAUUAAUAUCUUGGCCUACAAUGAGAAGAGAAUUACAAUUAGACAACCUCAAAAUGAUGACUUGCUUAUGAACUCAAACACAAAUGUCCAAAAUUUUCACAUCCUUUCCAUUAAAAAAGAUUUCUGAACUGAUUUUUAGUAUCAUUAACCUUGUCCUGUCUUAGUGCAGUCUAAAACGCAACAUCUGAAAAUAAGGAUACAGAAUAAUAACAUUUGUAUGCGUUACUGAAUCUGUUUCAGCCCACAACAGAAGUUCUAUCUAUUUAUCUCUAAAUAAUAUAUAUUUCUUUUCUCGUCAUGAAUCGAUGUCUCACAGCCUUAGGAAGGUAGUUUUGUAACAAAAAAUUGCUAGUCACCUCAAGAUGAAAUGCAUAUUUAAGAUACCGAAACAGUGACUAUCAACUGCAGAUCAAUGGCAGUAUUUACCAGAACUUGUUUCUGACCCAAAAGAGGAGGAAAACAACUCCUA